GGUGACAGGGAGCGGAACCCGAAAGCCUGUCUCAGUUCGGAUUGGAGUCUGCAACUCGACUCCAUGAAGCUGGAUCCGCUAGUAAUCGCGCAUCAGCCAUGGCGCGGUGAAUACGUUCCCGGGCCUUGUACACACCGCCCGUCAAGCCAUGGGAGCCGGGGGGUGCCUGAAGUACGUGACCGCGAGGAGCGUCCUAGGGCAAAACUGGUGACUGGGGCUAAGUCGUAACAAGGUAUC
rnacentral:rRNA from 1 species